ACGCUGGCGGCGUGCCUAAUACAUGCAAGUAGAACGCUGAAGGAGGAGCUUGCUUCUCCGGAUGAGUUGCGAACGGGUGAGUAACGCGUAGGUAACCUGCCUGGUAGCGGGGGAUAACUAUUGGAAACGAUAGCUAAUACCGCAUAAGAGUAGAUGUUGCAUGACAUUUGCUUAAAAGGUGCAAUUGCAUCACUACCAGAUGGACCUGCGUUGUAUUAGCUAGUUGGUGGGGUAACGGCUCACCAAGGCGACGAUACAUAGCCGACCUGAGAGGGUGAUCGGCCACACUGGGACUGAGACACGGCCCAGACUCCUACGGGAGGCAGCAGUAGGGAAUCUUCGGCAAUGGACGGAAGUCUGACCGAGCAACGCCGCGUGAGUGAAGAAGGUUUUCGGAUCGUAAAGCUCUGUUGUAAGAGAAGAACGAGUGUGAGAGUGGAAAGUUCACACUGUGACGGUAUCUUACCAGAAAGGGACGGCUAACUACGUGCCAGCAGCCGCGGUAAUACGUAGGUCCCGAGCGCUGUCCGGAUUUAUUGGGCGUAAAGCGAGCGCAGGCGGUUAGAUAAGUCUGAAGUUAAAGGCUGUGGCUUAACCAUAGUACGCUUUGGAAACUGUUUAACUUGAGUGCAAGAGGGGAGAGUGGAAUUCCAUGUGUAGCGGUGAAAUGCGUAGAUAUAUGGAGGAACACCGGUGGCGAAAGCGGCUCUCUGGCUUGUAACUGACGCUGAGGCUCGAAAGCGUGGGGAGCAAACAGGAUUAGAUGCCCUGGUAGUCCACGCCGUAAACGAUGAGUGCUAGGUGUUAGACCCUUUCCGGGGUUUAGUGCCGCAGCUAACGCAUUAAGCACUCCGCCUGGGGAGUACGACCGCAAGGUUGAAACUCAAAGGAAUUGACGGGGGCCCGCAC
rnacentral:rRNA from 1 species